rnacentral:rRNA from 1 species
CCUACGGGAGGCAGCAGUGAGGACUAUUGGUCAAUGGGCGCGAGCCUGAACCAGCCAAGUAGCGUGAAGGAUGACUGCCCUACGGGUUGUAAACUUCUUUUAUAAAGGAAUAAAGUGAGGAACGGGUGCCUUGGUGGAGGUACUUAAUGAAUAAGGAUCGGCAAACUCCGGGCCAGCAGCCGGGGUAAUAGGGAGGAUCCGAGCGUUAACCGGAGUUAGUGGGUUGAAAGGGAGCGGAGAGGGGUUGUUAAGUUAGUUGUGAAAGUUUUCGGCUACACCGUAAAAGUGCAAUUGAUACGGGCAUUCUUUCGUACAUUUGAGGUAGGCGGAAUUCGUGUUGUCGCGG